UCCCAUCCCAUCCCCACCCCCACAUAGACGAGGAGUUCAUAGCCCGUCGGCCGGCCGGACCGGAGGAACUAGCCAUGGCGUGCGUUCCCGUCCAGCCUCAGCCUACGCGCGGGGAGCCGGCCGUCUUUGGCUUGGCGCUAGGUUAAUCGAUCUCCGGCCAGUAUCCGGUUCUUCUCGUCUCGAUCUGUGCCAUGCCAUAUGCACGGACGGACGACGGCGAGCAGCCGCCGGCAUACCAAGCCGUCGCCGGCCGGAUUUGCCAAACAGAUCUCUAUCUCAGGUGCAGAAGAUCAACAACACAUGCAUCUAUGUAUGUAUAGCAGGGGGGAUAUGUCUUUGAUUAUUUCCACAUCCCUCGAUUUGAUUAAUAUACAUAGAGCAUCCGAUCGAUCCCGUUGCAACAGAGUAAUUAGGAUGAAUUGAAGUACUAUAUACGAUCCGGUAUUAUACAUCCCUAGUUUUGUCUUGUUUGUUACAAACAUGCAUUACUACUCCAUGUUAAUUUGCAUGUAUACUAGUUGUUUCUAUCUAAAUCCCUUCGAGCCAACUGUAUUAUUAUAUGUAUUUAGCCUUGCUAAAUGACGAUAAGUGUAGUCUUGAUUAGCGGAUAAUACAAGGAAUCUCGCAUGGAGGUAGGGGCAUGGCUGACAUUUCACAUGCUCAGAUCUUGGGGAGCCGCUAGUAGUACAGCCCUAGCCGUCAGCUCUCUGCACUCUCUCUCUCUUAUUAGACAAGACAGUCUUCUCUGUGAUACGGAGGUUUUUGUUAUUACUACGGAGUACAUUUUGAUGCUAAUUUUGGUAGCGCCCGUACGCCUGAAACAGUUCCCCUUCCAGAUCCAGAUGCCAUGCGCCUCCAGAUGAAGUCUACACGCCACCCUAGCUAGCAUCACAUGAUUUUUGUGCAUGCUAGACCACAUGAUGAUUUUCCUGUUUGAUGCAACCUACCCAAAGCUUGUAAGCCAGAUACAAACUGAUGAAGCUAAAGGUUGGCCAAUUUGGGUACGAUAAAGACAGCUGAUGGACUUGGGGGAUUGUAGCACACUGCUGAAGCUAUUUCCAGACGAAGAUCCAUCCAAUGCAUAUGCAUAUACACACACACAAGGCAGUAAGUUUGUCUAAUAUCUCUGCACUGUACUUUCAGCAAUCAACUAAAUAUCAUCCUUCUUUAUUCAAAAUGGCAGCAUACGCAGCUGAUUACCAUAUGCAUGACGCCUUGUUACCAGAAUUCAGUAAUUGGCGUUGUAGUAUGAACUCUGCAAUAGUGUAGGAAGAAAAAAAACUUAUCAGCAUGUAUGGUAGAAGAAAAAAACAUUAUCACCGUGCAUGCUAGAAGAGACUAUGGACAUGCAGUAUGAUGUUGCCAAAUUUAACAAACACCCAAGGGUCUUCCGGCUAGCUCCACAAGAUGGUGAGCUGGCUGGUCUGGGAGCUGGCUGGUCUGGGUUCGAAGCCUCAUUUCUACCUAUUUAAUUGAUAUUAGGUCAUUCCUUAAUAUCCAAGUUUUUUAUGUUCUUGCCAAAUUCCUGUGAUUUGUCUUCCAUGGAGCUGCACAGAUAAGAUAAUUUGUUAUAGAUAAAAUGAAUCAUUUUAGCUUCCGGACCAUGUAGAAUAAACCUUUAACUUUUAGACUUCACAGGAAACACAAAAUGAAUACAUGCACAUAGAUAUGCAUACUUGUAGUUCUAUACAGGGAGGUGGGAGGUGGGAACUGGAAAUCAAGCUGGCUGAACUGCAGGUGGGAAGCUAUCAGAAGGAAUUAGUUCAGCUGUACAAUGAAGGAAGAGAUGCCUAUCCAUGUAGGACUCUCUGGUUUUGGUUACUUCAGGAUACUUGACAAUGGGUAAUCCUCUAUAGAUUGUUUCAGUGGUUUGAAAUUAUUUUGAUUUGUGCUGAUUUUCUCCUGUCUUUUUUUUACUACGAAUCUAGGUCUUUCUACUCGAGGACAGCUUGCAUCAACUGAUGUUGGAUUCAUCACAAGGAACAUCGAAGUCUCCAGUGCUGGUAAUGAGGUGAUUCCUUCAAACUUCUUGUGUAAGAGGCCUUUCACCACAAACACGUCUGCUGAUGAGGGGAUGUUCGAUCACGUAUCUAUUGGAUGCGGAGAUACUGCUCUUUUCCUCCGAAAGUUGGACAAAGGGAUGUCUGAGAUUGCAAAUUCCUUUAAGCUUUCUUCAUUGAAGUUUUGAGAAGGACGUCAGACCUUAUCUUUCAGAAUAUUUGAUCUUUCCUCGCCCACUUGAUACUUCGGUUGCGCAGUUUCAUCCGAAAGCCCAUGUGUUGUUCGCUCCUAGUCCCAUCUAUCUUAGCUCACAUGAUGCUGCUAUAGUAAAGCAAAUACUGUCAAAACAUGAGUGGUCAGACUUCUUGGAUCAUAUCAUUAUCAAUUUCAAUGUUUGCAUAAGACCUCAACGGAUCACGUGCCACAAUAAUAUCAUUGAUAAUGGGACUAUGAGCGAACAACACAUGGGCUUUCCGAUGAAACUGCUCAACCGAAGUAUCAAGUGGGCGAGGAAAGAUCAAAUAUUCUGUAAGAUAAGGUCUGACGUCCUUCUCAAAACUCGCCUUCAAUGAAGAAAGCUUAAAGGAAUUUGCAAUCUCAGACAUCCCUUAUCCAAUAGAUACGUGAUCGAACAUCCCCUCAUUAUCAGCAGACGUGUUUGUGGUGAAAGGCCUCUUACACAAGAAGUUUGAAGGAAUCACCUCAUUACCAGCACACGAGACGCCGAUGUUCCUUGUGAUGAAUUCAACAUCAGUUGAUGCAAGCUGUCCUCGAGUAGAAAGACCUGGAUUCGUAGUAAAAAAAAAGACACGAGAAAAUCAGCACAAAUCAAAAUAAUUUCAAACCACUAAAACAAUCUAUAGAGCAUUACCAGUGGUGCAUGUGGUGAGGUGCCUAUUGCCACACCCAUGGUCAAGUAUUCUAAAGUAACCUCACCAAAGAGUCUUGCAUGGAUAGGCAUCAGUAUCAAUCAGGUGGUUUAAACCAACAAUCUACACCGGACAAAUAAAAUAGGGAGGUUUUAAACCGUUAGAUUAAGCAAUAUACACUCUACAACCCAGGAGGAUUCAAUCUAUCCAGACAACUCAUCCCAGUUAUACAGACCAACUCAUGAAAGCCCCACUUAAAACGACGAGAGGAUACCACGAACCAAGUAUCCAGCCAGCAUCCGGCGUAUCAGCCGCAACAUUUUAGGAAUCUUCACGCCUCUCUCUCCCCUUCCCCCCUAAACCCUAAAUCGCGGCCACCUCAAAUCCCGAGGAACACACACAGACAGAGGAAAGGGACGACGAGAGGAUACCACUAACCGAGUGUUGUUGAGUGCUUACUGCCGCCACCAGCCAGCAUCCGGCGUAUCAGCCGCAACAUUUUACGCCUGUUCUGUAUCCUUCAACUAGGUCUGUAGCAAUCUUUGUCGUUGCAUUCAUUUGUGCCAUACAUCUUAGAAUUAACAGCUGCAUGCAAUGGUCCCAUCGUACAAAUUAAUUAGGGGACAAACCAUUAGUAGAAUCUACUGUUUCUCUCUAAGAAAAUUCGAUAAAUAAAAUAUGCGGCGGCAAAGCGCGAUAGGAACAGACGAAAGCAGCACAUCCCUCUUUGUUUCUGGCGCCAAAAAUAUGGAUCGUCCUCCAAUCUUCACUUAUCCUUGAAUAAAACAACUAGAACAGUCAAAUCGUUCUCCAAUGGAGCAACCAAAUGAUCCUGCAGGAAGAAAAAAACAAGAACAAGCUAAUCCUUCUUGAUGGAGCAUCCAAAUGAUCAUACCACUGCAUCGAUGAAAGUUGUACCUAGUUGGGUGCCUCAAAUGGGCAUGUCACUUAGUGAUACAAAGGAGGCUUGGAACUUUUGGGUCAUGUAUGGAGGUCGGAUGGGCUUUGAUGUUAGAAAGAAGCUAGUAUGACAAUAAAAAUCCUGUAACCAAGAAAACCACAUCAGCUAGAUUUGUUUGCUCCAAACAAGGUUUUCGAGGCAAGGAUAAAAGAGAUUGCUUGACCAAGCAUCCUCGAGCUGAGACGAGAAUUGGAUGUAAUGUCCGCAUCGGGCUUUCACUGAAUCGAGAAAAUGAAAAGUAUGAGAUAUCUGAUCUGGAAGUAGAGCACAACCAUAUACUGCAAAUGCCAGAAACUUCUCAUUUAAUGUCAUCUCAGCGCAAGAUUUCUGAACUGCAAGCCUUUGACAUUGAAAUGGCAGAUGCCAUUGUUAUUCAACCCAGAAUCGCUCAUGAAUUGGCUGCUCGACAUGCUAGUGGGUCAUCUAAUCUUGGCUAUACUUGUCAUGAUCAAAAAAAUUAUUUGAGAACUAGACGUUAAAAAGAGUUGAAAUAUGGUGAGGCUAGGAGCUUAUUAAACUAUUUUAAGAAUAAGGCCAUAGAAAAUCCUUCUUUUCAUUAUGUUUUGCAGUUGGUCACUGAUAAGCAAAUAACAAAUAUCUUUUGGGCUGAUGCAAAGAUGAUAGUCGAUUAUGAUCACUUUGGUGAUGUUGUUACUUUUGAUACAACCUUUGGGACAAACAGAGAAAACCGACCAUUUGGUAUAUUUGUUGGAUUUAAUCAUUUCAGAGAAACAAUAGUUUUUGGAGCUGCAUGCACUCAUGUAUGAUGAGACAUGUGACUCAUUCCGUUGGCUUUUUGAUGCCUUUUCGUCAUGCCACAAUCACAAGCAACCAAGAACUAUAUAUACUGAUCAAGAUGUUGCAAUGGGAAAGGCUAUCUUUGAGGUAUUUACACAAACAUGGCAUGGUUUAUGCACUUUUCACAUAAUGCAAAAUGCAAUCAAACAUAUAAACCGUCACAAGACUAGUGAUGGCUCUAAUGUUCUGGCUGAUUUUAGUGCUUGCAUGUAUGAACAUGAGAAUGUGGCAAAAUUUGAGCAAGUCUUUGCUGAUUCGAGGACGAAAGUUCACAAAGAGACAUGGUUGGAUAGUAUUUAUAAGUUGAAAGGAAAGUGGGUUGAAUGCUUUAUGAUCAAUGUGUACACUUAGGAAUGUGAAGUACUCAAUGGAGUGAAUGACAAAACAGUGAUCUGAAGGAUCAUUUAAAUUCUGAGUUAAACAUUGUACAAUUUCUUAAUCACUUUGAAAGAGUUAUACAAGGAAAGAGCGAUAAGGAGAUCAACUCGGUGUAUGAAUCAAGGAAAAAGUUGCCACACAUCCUAAUGAGAACUCCUAUGCUAUUGCAAGCAAGUAAGCUUUACACCCCAUAGAUUUUUGAGGCCUUUCAAAAAGAAUAUGAAAGAUCAAUGUCGGCUUAUACGAAAGUAUUGGAUGAGGGUGGGGGCAUAUGUUGUUGGCAUAAGAUCCCUCGAUGAUGAUUCAACAAUUGAAGAAGAGUAUAUGGUUGUUGUAAAUCAUUCAGAGGGUAGGAAUACUUUGAAGCCAUGCAUUGAAGAUUCUUGAUGUGAUGAAUAUUAAGCAAUUACCAAAAUAUUAUAUUCUCAACAGAUGGACACGAGAAGCACGACAUGGGGUUGUCCAUGAUACAUCUAGAAGACAUGUCCUAGAGAAUCCCAAGCUGGAUGCUUCACAUCGAUAUAAGUUUCAAACAAAUUUAUCAGUUUGGCAUCUCGUGCAGCAGAUUUUGAAGAGUAUUUUGUGUUUGUUGAUAAUGCUCUUGACACACUUGGAAAGCAAGUGGAAGAAAUGGUUGAAGGGAAUACAACUCACCAAUCCAAUUUAGAGACAGGGUCCAAGAUACCUGGUAAUAUUUCCCAUGGUAUUGGUCUGAUGAAAAAAGAGACCCGGAGCGGCGGAUGUAAGUGAAAAAAGAAUUGGGUUGAUCGGCUACAUAAUAAAAGAAAAAAAAGCAAGAACCAAAACAACAAAAGUAUGAGGCUGAGAAGGAGAGAGAACUAGCACGUGCUGUGCCAUUGGUAAAGGAGAGAUGGGAGAACAAUGGAAAAGAAGUUCACGAUGAUUAUGAAUUUAUGGGUAUCUAUUCCAAGUUACUGACGCUGUUAGUUCUAAGAUGUAUGGCACAAAUGAAUGCAACGAAAAGAUUGCUACAGACCCAGUUGAAGGAUACAGAAGAGGCGUAAAAUGUUGCGGCUGAUACGCCGGAUGCUGGCUGGUGGCGGCAGUAAGCACUCAACAACACUCGAUGCCUAUCCAUGCAUGACUCUUUGGUGGAGGUUACUUCAGGAUACUUGACCAUGGGUGUGGCAAUAGGCACCUCACCACAUGCACCACUGUAUGAAUCCAGGUCUUUCUACUCGAGGACAGCUUGCAUCAACUGAUGUUGAAUUCAUCACAAGGAACAUCGGCGUCUCCAGUGCUGGUAAUGAGGUGAUUCCUUUAAACUUCUUGUGUAAGAGGCGUUCACCACAAACACGUCAGAAUGGAGGAUCCUAACAGGGACCUGUUUCUUCUGUUGAGGAGCUUACGAGUGCAUUUCCAGUCCCUUGUCACAGUUUGGAAACCUAGGGAAUUAUUGUCCUUGACAGAUUCUUUUAUAAGAGAGACUGAUGGCCAUGUUGUACUACUAAGAGACAUCGCCAAGAAAAAUUUGGAAAAAUGGUCAGAUUUUCUGAGUGGACAUACCUGUUUCAGAUUAAGCUCCACUAAAGUCGUAACCGAUUUGGAGAAAAAAUUCGAGAAAAAAUCGAAUGAGCAGACUCGUCCUCCUGGGGUAUCAACCUACUGGGUUAUGGUUGAUAAUGAUGAGUCUAAAAUCAAGAAGCUUUCAGAGAUUUUGGACAAGUUCAGAUCUGAUUUUGUCAUGCUGUACAUUGAUUGCCUAGAAGAAAAGGCUGAAUCUUUCCAGAGGGUAAUCGCUGAUAUUUAUCACGAUAAAGGUAGUCGAAAGUGGCAAACAGGUAGUUGCUCCAUCUUUCUGUGCAACCAAAAUGAGUUUGGCACUAGAUUAUCUGGAAGGAACAGAUUGGAUAUAGUGCUUGAUGCUACUGUUCCAGUGGAUUUAUUCUACCCUCUGGAACACGGAAGAUCAAGCACAAGAGUUGUGUUUGCUUGGGCCGAUCAGCUCCAUAGGCUCAUAAAAGCUGGCGUUGACGAAUUGAAUGCUGAAGCUUACAUUGAUUUUCAUAACAUCAAGCUAACUCCGGUGAAGAAGCAUGGUAAUGAGGGCAAGAAGGUAACCCUGAUGAAGGAGGGGAAGGAGGGGGAAGGGCAAGAAAGGCAAAAGGAGGGGGAAGAAGAGCAAGGGUCAGAGAUGAAGGUGGAUAAGAUGGGACAUGUAAGGAAGAUCAAUUUCUUUGCCCCUUGUUGAGAGAUCUUAUACAGAUGUGUCCUUUGCCACAAAUUUCCUAAGAUGUGGCAUGCCACACUUUUUGUUGAUUAUGAGAAUACCUGGUGCAUCAUGAGGUGGUUCAUCAUGUAGUGUUGCUGCGUGUUGAUGUGGUCAUCAGUGGAGGUGGUUCAGGCCUUGCAGCCUGUGCUCCCCUCGAGAUCACCAUGACAACAAAUAUUGCCACCAACAAAAACCAGAGCUUCUUGGAGGCCAUAUAUGAAUUAAUUAAUGUGUUUCCGCCUUCUUACAGCUAGAUUGUAUACAUAUAUAUAGAUAUUAGCUAUAUAUGUAGCUAAGGUAGGUAUAUAAGAGGUGAGUACAUGCAUGUUAGCAUCGAUCCGGCCCUCUUAUUUAUAGACAGCAGAGGACUAGCUAGCUAGUUAGCUAUCUUGUCAAGCACACACUUGAUUAAGCUCGAUCUGAUUCCGCUAGAAUGAAGCUACGUAAU